rnacentral:rRNA from 14 species
AGUCGAUGAAGAACGCAGCGAAAUGCGAC